GAUGAACGCUGGCGGCGUGCCUAAUACAUGCAAGUCGAGCGAACAGACGAGGAGCUUGCUCCUCUGACGUUAGCGGCGGACGGGUGAGUAACACGUGGAUAACCUACCUAUAAGACUGGGAUAACUUCGGGAAACCGGAGCUAAUACCGGAUAAUAUAUUGAACCGCAUGGUUCAAUAGUGAAAGACGGUUUUGCUGUCACUUAUAGAUGGAUCCGCGCCGCAUUAGCUAGUUGGUAAGGUAACGGCUUACCAAGGCAACGAUGCGUAGCCGACCUGAGAGGCUGAUCGGCCACCCUGGAACUGAGACACGGUCCAGACUCCUACGGGAGGGCGCAGUAGGGAAUCUUACGCAGUGGGCGAAAGCCUGACGCAGCAACGCCGCGUGAGUGAUGAAGGUCUUCGGAUCGUAAAACUCUGUUAUUAGGGAAGAACAAAUGUGUAAGGAACUAUGGACGUCUUGACGGUAACUAAUCAGAAAGCAACGGCUAACUACGUG
rnacentral:rRNA from 1 species